rnacentral:rRNA from 1 species
GACGAACGCUGGCGGCGUGCUUAACACAUGCAAGUCGAGCGGUAAGGCCCUUUUGGGGGUACACGAGCGGCGAACGGGUGAGUAACACGUGGGUGACCUGCCCUCAGCUCUGGGAUAAGCCUGGGAAACUGGGUCUAAUACUGGAUAUGACCUUUCCUCGCAUGGGGUUGGGUGGAAAAGUUUUUCGGCUGGGGAUGGGCCCGCGGCCUGUCAGCGUGUUGGUGGGGUGAUGGCCUACCAAGGCGACGACGGGUAGCCGGCCUGAGAGGGCGACCGGCCACACUGGGACUGAGACACGGCCCAGACUCCUACGGGAGGCAGCAGUGGGGAAUAUUGCGCAAUGGGCGGAAGCCUGACGCA